rnacentral:rRNA from 1 species
AUUGAACGCUGGCGGCAGGCUUAACACAUGCAAGUCGAGCGGAGUGAUGGUGCUUGCACUAUCACUUAGCGGCGGACGGGUGAGUAAUGCUUAGGAAUCUGCCUAUUAGUGGGGGACAACACCUCGAAAGGGAUGCUAAUACCGCAUACGUCCUACGGGAGAAAGCAGGGGAUCACUUGUGACCUUGCGCUAAUAGAUGAGCCUAAGUCGGAUUAGCUAGUUGGUGGGGUAAAGGCCUACCAAGGCGACGAUCUGUAGCGGGGCUGAGAGGAUGGACCGCCACACUGGGACUGAGACAGGGCCCAGACUCCUACGGGAGGCAGCAGUGGGGAAUAUUGGACAAUGGGGGGAACCCUGAUCCAGCCAUGCCGCGUGUGUGAAGAAGGCCUUAUGGUUGUAAAGCACUUUAAGCGAGGAGGAGGCUCUUUUGGUUAAUACCCAAGAUGAGUGGACGUUACUCGCAGAAUAAGCACCGGCUAACUCUGUGCCAGCCGCCGCCGUAA